ensembl:lncRNA
AUAGCACGGCUGUGGAUCCAUUCCUUCCUUUUCACUGUGGCUUUCUGCCCUUGCUUUUGCAACACUAGUCCUGCAUAUAGCAAUUGUGUAGUGGUGGGCAGGUCACUCUAGUGAGUGGUUUCCAAAUGCUUGAAAGAUGAACUCUGUCCCCUUCCAGGAAAUUUAACUGAUCAUGCUUCCCAUCAUAACUCAACUAUAUGUUAUUAAAAGGUAUAAUUAAUACAUCUUCCAUGUCCUCUGGCAAGUCCUUUGUGGCCUGCUACAUUCCCACUGUGGGAAAUGCUGAUGUAGAUCUUCAGAAUAUGAUACUUUAAUUCCCUUAUUAUGGUGAAAUAGUUAACAAGGUAAAUAUUUAAAGCAGGGGUCAGCAACCUCUGGCACGCAGCUCGCCAGAGUAAGAACCCUGGCGGGCUGGGCCAGUUUAUUUACCGGCUGAUGCAGCAGGUUUGGCCAAUUGUGGCCCCUACUGGCCACGGUUCGCUGUCCCAGGCCAAUAGGGGUGGCGGGAAGCUGCGGCCAGCACAUCCCUCACCCGCGCAGCUUCCCGUCGCCCCUAUUGGCUUACCCUGGUGCUUACCCUGGUGAGCCCCGUGCCAGAGGUUGCUGACCCCUGAUUUAAAGAAUCAUCAUUUGAGUGAGUUAGCAUCCACUGGAAUGAAUGAGGCAGUUCACGUUAGAACUAAUUUUUGAGACUUUGCAAAUUCAGGAAGUAGUCUGCAUCAGUUUGACUUGGGUCAUAUUUUGAAAGCUUUCUUCACACCCAUAAACAGCUGAUAUUCUGAUAUGCUGAAGAAUAGCUGAGAGGACAGUCAGCUCUCUCCUGGCUAAUAUUUGAUGACCUCCCCCAAUGGGAUGUGCCCCACAUUCUGAAAAAUGCUGCCCUAAACACUGUUUGUUGUAUGCUACACAUCUUUUAUCUCUUCUGAUCUUACUUGCACCUUUCUUGUGCACACUAGCUCCACAGCUCACAAAAUGACAGAUCCUAUUUAUUGUUUGUUUCAACACAGCCGAUGUUUGAUCAAGGGCUCUGCUCAAGACACACUCUCCUCUGACUUUCCUUAUCGGAUAGGAACAGCUGCAUGGUCCAUUAGCAGUGAAAACAUCAGCCAGAAUAGCCAGAUGUGUUCGCUUGAACACACGUUAACAGAGCCAUUUGUGUCCCUUAGACUUCAUUGCACUUUAUUUCAUUGGUUCGUUUUAACCCAGCGAUUUGACAUUGCUUCUAAGGACUGCCUUUCCUGAAGCCAACAGACUGGUGUUUAAUGACUUCAGACACAAGGCCCUGAAGAGUUUUGAAAUACUGGAGUGAAGUUUUAUUUUGUUCUGUUCCCAGAUUUUCUUGCUAUCCCCAAUUCCAUAACUUGGAAAAUGUGAGCAGGGGUACAGACUUCAGUAGAUAAAGGGUGUGUGUGUAAGCUCGGUGGCUUACAGAUGUUUGCUAUCUGAAAUGCGUCAAUCUUGAUGACAUCUCAGUAUUCAGUGGAUAACAAAUGGACUGCGUCUGCCAUGGUGGCCCAAUCAUAUGUGGCACGGCCGUGCUUUGAAUGUGCAGCAAGGCAUAUCAGGUCGAAGCCAUCAAUCUUGUAUUGACCAGCUUCAUUAAAUAAAACAUGAGUUUCUUGUAUUCA